GAAAUGCGAUAAGUAGUGUGAAUUGCAGAAUUCAGUGAAUCAUCGAAUCUUUGAACGCACAUUGCGCCCCUUGGUAUUCCAUGGGGCAUGCCUGUUCGAGCGUCAUCUACACCCUCAAGCUCUGCUUGGUGUUGGGCGUCUGUCCCGCCUCCGCGCGUUGGACUCGCCCCAAAUCCAUUGGCAGCGUUCCUUGCCCCCUCUCGCGCAGCACAAUUGCGCUUCUCGAGGGCGGCUCCGGGACGCGACCCACGAAGAUGACCACCGUCUUUGACCUCGGAUCAGGUAGGGAUACCCGCUGAACUUAA
rnacentral:misc_RNA from 1 species